rnacentral:lncRNA from 1 species
GAGAAAAUAAGCAAAGCACUGGAUAACAUUAAUGUGUUUCUGGCAAUCUUUACUGGAAUAGCAGAUGAAUACUUUUGGCCGGGGGCGAAGUCUUUCCACAGGGAGACCUGCACCAUAAGCUGAAGAUUCUGAGCUCUCCUCGUCUAGAUGGGAAUAUAUAUUCUCUUGCUGCUUUUUGCGGCACAUCACUGUGAAAAGUGUUGCAAAUGCCGAAAUGACAACUAAAGGGACUGUAAUGGCAAUAGCUCUUAUUGGUCCAGCCCACGGAGAA